GACGAACGCUGGCGGCGUGCUUAACACAUGCAAGUCGAACGAAGUGGCGAACGGGUGAGUAACGCGUAGUCAACCGGCCCUUCAGAGGGGGACAACAGUUGGAAACGACUGCUAAUACCGCAUACUGAAGGGGGGGUUUGCGUUUGAUUCGGUAGUUGGGGGGGUAACGGCCCACCAAGGCGAUGAGCAGUAGGCGGUCUGAGAGGAAGAACGGGCACAUUGGGACCUGGAACACGCCCAGACUCCUACGGGGAGCAGGCAUGGGGAAACAUUCGACAUGGAGGAAAGUCUUAAGGAGGAACGCCGGGUGAGUGAUGGAGGCCUUCCGAUUGUAAAGCUAUUGUAAGCGGGACGCGGUACCGGAAUAGAAAGCAACGGCUAACUACGUGCCAGCAGCCGCGGUAAUAC
rnacentral:rRNA from 1 species